AUUGAACGCUGGCGGCAUGCUUUACACAUGCAAGUCGAACGGUAACAGGCCGCAAGGUGCUGACGAGUGGCGAACGGGUGAGUAAUGCAUCGGAACGUGCCCAGUCGUGGGGGAUAACUACUCGAAAGAGUAGCUAAUACCGCAUACGAUCUAUGGAUGAAAGCGGGGGACCGUAAGGCCUCGCGCGAUUGGAGCGGCCGAUGUCAGAUUAGGUAGUUGGUGGGGUAAAGGCUCACCAAGCCAACGAUCUGUAGCUGGUCUGAGAGGACGACCAGCCACACUGGGACUGAGACACGGCCCAGACUCCUACGGGAGGCAGCAGUGGGGAAUUUUGGACAAUGGGUGCAAGCCUGAUCCAGCAAUGCCGCGUGCAGGAAGAAGGCCUUCGGGUUGUAAACUGCUUUUGUACGGAACGAAACGGCUCUGGUUAAUACCCGGGGCUAAUGACGGUACCGUAAGAAUAAGCACCGGCUAACUACGUG
rnacentral:rRNA from 1 species